rnacentral:snoRNA from 1 species
GUGUUAUGGUCAAGACUUUCAACCUCUAAGAAGAUACUUGAAUCGCUCCCAUGCUUGAUAGGUACUUUUGUCUAUCUUUUGUUUCAAACUUAAGAUCUCACUCAUCAACCU